ACGCUAGCGGCAGGCCUAAUACAUGCAAGCCGAACGGCAAGUUGAAUAGCAAUAUUUGACCUAGAGUGGCGUAAGGGUGCGUAACGGGUAUGCAAUCUGCCCGCAACAGGAGGAUAGCUCGGGGAAACCCGAAUUAAUACUCCAUAAGAUCAUGGUGGGGCAUCCCAUAGUGAUUAAACUACAAGGGGUUGCGGAUGAGCAUGCUUCUGAUUAGCUAGUUGGCGGUGUAACGGACCACCAAGGCGAUGAUCAGUAGGGGAACUGAGAGGUUGAUCCCCCACACUGGCACUGAGAUACGGGCCAGACUCCUACGGGAGGCAGCAGUAGGGAAUAUUGGACAAUGGGUGCGAGCCUGAUCCAGCCAUGCCGCGUGCAGGAAGAAGGCCUUCUGGGUUGUAAACUGCUUUUGCCAGGGGAUAAAACGACCUUGCGAGGUUAAUUGAAGGUACCUGGUGAAUAAGCCACGGCUAACUACGUGCCAGCAGCCGCGGUAAUACGUAGGUGGCAAGCGUUGUCCGGAUUUAUUGGGUUUAAAGGGUGCGUAGGCGGUCCUAUAAGUCAGUGGUGAAAUACAGCCGCUUAACGGUUGAGGUGCCAUUGAUACUGCAGGACUUGAGUACAGACGAAGUAGGCGGAAUUGACGGUGUAGCGGUGAAAUGCAUAGAUAUCGUCAAGAACACCGAUAGCGAAGGCAGCUUACUAGACUGUAACUGACGCUGAGGCACGAAAGUGUGGGGAUCAAACAGGAUUAGAUACCCUGGUAGUCCACACUGUAAACGAUGAUUACUCGAUGUUGGCGAUACACA
rnacentral:rRNA from 1 species